GAUCCCAAACUUUGACGGAGGGCAAAUUUAAACUAGGGAAAAGGGUCAAAUAUACCCCUGAACUUUGCGAAAAUGUCUAGAUAUGCCCUCCGUUUAAAGUUUGGCUCAUUUGUGCCCCUGCCGUCCAACUUUUGGCACAUAUAUACCCCCGAAGACGUUAAAUGCCUUGCUGGAUUUUCCCAACCUGUUAAUUUUUUUAAUUUUUUUUUAGAAAAAUCUGAAGUAGCCACAUGGCAUUUUAAUUUAAAAGAUCCUCCCAUUUAACCCACCCCUCCAAUACCCGACCCACAAAAUAACCUGACAUCGCCGGGUGAACCACCGCUCCUCCACCACAUCACCGGCCAUCUCACCUUCCUUGUCAAGUUUCAACCAUAGAAUCACCACCAAAACAGAGCAAAACCACGGCCAGAAACAACCAUCAAUGACGGCCGAUUCUCCAUCACCACCUGAAACCUCAUUGACACAGUCGUCAAUUUUCUUCUCCGGUUAAAGUAGAGGUAUUUCUAGUCGAGCUACGGUCCUAGUUCACUGAAGCAAAGUAACAAGCUACUUGAUAUUUUGAGAGAGGCAAAAGGCCCUUUGCAAGUGAAGUUACACAGACAGACAUCAGCUACAAAACUCUGUAUAUCAACUCGCAAAGAAAGGUUGAGAAUUUGACGGAGGAAAACUAUAAACAAGCCAUUGAUUUGAGCUACCGCUGUGGACAAGUUGAUGCAUACGAGUAUAUAAUAGGAAAUAUGAAGAAUGUGGUUGCCUUGUCAAAUGUAAUGAGAGUAACUGAUGCAGAGAUGAACUUGGCGGAAGGAACUGCUCCAGAUGCUCCUCCUUUGAAUGCUGGCACUGAACCUGAACCAUCUCGGACUACGAAGAACUCAUAGAAAGUGUGCUCCUCCCCUAGGAAGUGAAUGUUUUUUGACUGCCUGUCCUAAACUAAGUAGGCUAUCUAUUUAUUUGGUGCUUUUGGUAAAAUGUGUACAUAUAUGAUGAAACUAGCAACUCUGGUUGGUCUUUAGCCUGUUAAUUUUCACAGGCAGUAUCGGACGGUUUCUUAGCAGCUAGUAUGGACUCUUGUUGGUAAAGCUGGAAGUUGAUUUUGAAUGUAAUCUAUUGAUGUCUUACCCUUUUCAAUAAAUCAAACAAUUUAUGAUCA